rnacentral:tRNA from 1 species
GGAAGGGUCUGUGGCUCAGUGGCAGAUCGUCUCCUUGGCACCCAGAAGGUCUCAGGUUCGAUCCGUGGCAUCUCCA